rnacentral:rRNA from 1 species
GGAGGGAGCUAGCGUUGUUCAGAAUUACUGGGCGUAAAGCGUACGUAGGCGGUUAUUCAAGUUAGAGGUGAAAGCCCGGGGCUCAACCCCGGAACUGCCUUUGAAACUAGAUAGCUAGAAUCCUGGAGAGGUCAGUGGAAUUCCGAGUGUAGAGGUGAAAUUCGUAGAUAUUCGGAAGAACACCAGUGGCGAAGGCGACUGACUGGACAAGUAUUGACGCUGAGGUACGAAAGCGUGGGGAGCAAACAGGAUUAGAUACCCUGGUAGUCCACGCCGUAAACGAUUAUAACUAGUUGUUCGGGCACUUGGUGCCUGAGUGACGCAGCUAACGCAUUAAGUUAUCCGCCUGGGGAGUACGGUCGCAAGAUUA